GAUGAACGCUGGCGGCGUGCCUAAUACAUGCAAGUCGAGCGAACAGACGAGGAGCUUGCUCCUCUGACGUUAGCGGCGGACGGGUGAGUAACACGUGGAUAACCUACCUAUAAGACUGGGAUAACUUCGGGAAACCGGAGCUAAUACCGGACAAUAUAUUGAACCGCAUGGUUCAAUAGCGAAAGACGGUUUUGCUGUCACUUAUAGAUGGAUCCGCGCCGCAUUAGCUAGUUGGUAAGGUAACGGCUUACCAAGGCGACGAUGCGUAGCCGACCUGAGAGGGUGAUCGGCCACACUGGAACUGAGACACGGUCCAGACUCCUACGGGAGGCAGCAGUAGGGAAUCUUCCGCAAUGGGCGAAAGCCUGACGGAGCAACGCCGCGUGAGUGAUGAAGGUCUUCGGAUCGUAAAACUCUGUUAUUAGGGAAGAACAAAUGUGUAAGUAACUAUGCACGUCUUGACGGUACCUAAUCAGAAAGCCACGGCUAACUACGUG
rnacentral:rRNA from 1 species